CUCUCUUGCACAUGCGCGUACUUCGGCACUAGACCAGGAGGUCGGUGAAUGGCUCCAGGAGUUGCGCCUGCGCUGUGGACGCCUCUGCCGGAAGUGGGCGGGAUCGUGUUCCAAAGCCGAAAGGGCGGAGGGAGAAAGCGCGGCAAGAGUGGCUGAAUGGAAAGCUGAAUUUCGGGACCGCUCGAAUGCCUUGCUGCACAAUUACGGAAACUAGAAAUGUAAGGCCAGAAUGUGAUCACUGGAACUUAAUUUUCGAUUUUAGAAACGUUUUACAAGACUAUUCUUUUUUACAUGUGUGUUAAGUAAAGGUUUUAGGUUGAAAGAAUUUUCCCUGUUUUCUUUUUCCCCAUGACUUUUUUUUUUCCCUCUCUCCGCCGCACCGCGGCGCUUGUGGGAUCUUAGUUCCCCCACUAGGGAUGGAACCUGGGCUCCUGCGGUGGAAGUGCAGAGUCCUAACCACUGGACCACCAGGGAAGUCCCACCAUGAAUUCUUAUAUUCUGAAAGACUUAAGGACUCAAUAAGGACACAUUUGGGUGACUAUGUGCCAGGUUGAAAAGAAGUAUUAUUUAAAAAAAAAAAAAUAAGGCACACCUUCUCGCCCACAUAAAAGUAGGUCCUCGUCAGGAAUCCCAGUCAGGAAAUCAUUAGGAAGAGAUGUUGAAUAAGAGCCAGAAAAGAAACAAGUCUGCAUAGAGAAAUUUCAAGAGCAGGAAGAUGAAGGAAGAUUGAGGAACUGUUCUAUAUGAAAGGAGGCUAAAGAGACAUGACAACUACACACGGCAGCCAAACUGGAAACAUCCCAAAGUUACCUCAACUGGUGAACGGAUAAACAAAUGGAUCCAUCCAUACAAUGAAAUACACUCAACAAAGGGA